rnacentral:tRNA from 1 species
GCCCGGGUGGCGGAAUGGUAUACGCGCUCGACUUAAGAUCGAGUUCCGUAAGGAUUGUGGGUUCGAGUCCCACCCCGGGUA